rnacentral:rRNA from 1 species
UAGGGAAUCUUCGGCAAUGGGGGCAACCCUGACCGAGCAACGCCGCGUGAGUGAAGAAGGUUUUCGGAUCGUAAAGCUCUGUUGUAAGUCAAGAACGGGUGUGAGAGUGGAAAGUUCACACUGUGACGGUAGCUUACCAGAAAGGGACGGCUAACUACGUGCCAGCAGCCGCGGUAAUACGUAGGUCCCGAGCGUUGUCCGGAUUUAUUGGGCGUAAAGCGAGCGCAGGCGGUUUGAUAAGUCUGAAGUUAAAGGCUGUGGCUCAACCAUAGUUCGAUUUGGAAACUGUCAAACUUGAGUGCAGAAGGGGAGAGUGGAAUUCCAUGUGUAGCGGUGAAAUGCGUAGAUAUAUGGAGGAACACCGGUGGCGAAAGCGGCUCUCUGGUCUGUAACUGACGCUGAGGCUCGAAAGCGUGGGGAGCGAAGAGG